UCUCAGUUGGUAGAGCAUCGCUUUUACACAGCGGAGGUCGCAGGUUCGAGCCCUGC
rnacentral:tRNA from 1 species